UACGUAGGAUGCAAGCGUUGUCCGGAUUUACUGGGUUUAAAGGGUGCGCAGGCGGCAUGCUAAGUCGGUGAUGAAAUGGAGGGGCUUAACCUUAUCCGCUGUUACCGAUACUGGCAGGCUAGAGGAUAGUUGAGGUAGCUGGAAUGAGUGGUGUAGCGGUGAAAUGCGUAGAGAUCACUCAGAACACCGAUUGCGAAGGCAAGCCGCUAAACUAUAUCUGACGCUCAGGCACGAAAGCGUGGGGAUCAAACAGG
rnacentral:rRNA from 1 species